CAAAACCUCUAUCAUCAAGUCAAAUGUCUUGAUUUUAAACACCAGGAAGGAGAAUUGGGAGAAAACUCCUGGAAGGAGAAUUGGGAGAGCAGAAGGGGCGGGGCCUGGGACUGGCCUGGUUUAAUUUCCCAUUCCUUUGCGGGAAGAGAAGGGGCGUUGAUAAGAAAUUAAGGCUUUGAACGUUGACGAUCAAAAUUAAGUGGUGAAAUAAAAGCCAGCGAGCGCGCAGAUAGCAGCUGACAGAGAGAGAGGUGAGCACGCACCGCCCAAAGGUAUGAUUUUAUACAAUUGCUGCCUGUGUGGUUUUGAAUUCGGAAUGCUGCCCGAAUGCCCUAUCUACAGGAUAAUUCACUAUAUACACAAGCGGAGUCUUUCAAUUCAUCAGACUUGAGGAAGGAGGGGGGCUGAUUUCAGAUCCCCAUUAUUAAUGGUGAAACCCGUGAAAGCCAGGUUGGUGUAUAUAAGGACUCUCAUCAUCCAUCCACAUCUGAAUCGUGUCCGUGCAUUCGACGUCUAAUUACCAAUAGUAAUUCACUAAUACCACUAGUAAUUACGUGUUCAAUUGUAGUAGUACUAGUGCUUUGGGAAGAAAAAUGUUGGGAGACUCAAAAGUUGGCUGUCCAUAAGUUCCUUCAUCCCAUGUUUUUGUCACAUUAACUCUGCAAAUUUAUGUUUUUGCCACAAUUUUGUGCUAAUUUUUUAUAAUAUUGUGUCAAAAAUAACAAUAAUAUUGUGUAAAAAAUAUAAGAUGACGAAGGGUUGAAUUUUUAGAAAAUCUCCUAAACAUUUAUUCUUUGAAAACUGUAAAGUUGCACCGCUGGCUUAGCACUAGUUGUGGAAUGUUGUACUCAGAGGGUUUGUAAUUGCGUUGGCCUCAAAAGUCCCAUUGGCCACUUCUCUAUUGCGGUUGCUCCUGUUUCAGCCGUCGGAUCUACGUAUAAUAUGAUUCAAUCUUUAUCUCAGCCUUUAAAUUUAACUUAGGGUUUUAUAUGUAUUGGAGCGUUGGUAUGGUGUUUGGUGGGGAAGGGUCGGGAAAGGACAACCCGCAAAAUGGAAGGGAGACAAAGAUAAAGACGUCCAUUGAAAAUCACCCACCCUUAUACGUUUUCAUCAUAUAUCCCGCGACUCUGCAUAUGCCUAAACAUGUGUACGCUGC
rnacentral:sRNA from 1 species